rnacentral:misc_RNA from 1 species
UUGUUAGGGACCCUCGUGCUGGGUGAGUAGCAUGUUGAUGGUUGGAAACUUGGAACAUGGUUAAAAAAUCACUUAUUUUAGGUUAUGUCAACUGCUUGUUAUUUUGAGAUGUUUACAGUUAUCAGCUAGCGUUUGAAUUUUGAAGUUGGAAGUUACCUGAAACUUAGUUGAAUGAUGACAGAAACAUUGAUGGUUGAUUUGUAGUAUUUCAACUGCAAUUAAUCUAGGUUCUUCAAAAGUUAGGUCAAAUUGAACUGGAACUCACCCUUUCGUAUUCUUUUUUCUUUUUUUUAAAGUGAACUGACAUCCUGUUGAGUUCAUGAAUUGAUCUAUACUUGUAGGGGCAGAGCUAGAAAAUUAUUUUUGAGGCGGCUAACAUUAUUGAUUCAAUAUA